GCCAGGAGAUGCCCAUGUGAUGAAGUCACAUAUAAAAAUGGCAUCGACGACAUCUCACAUUGCGGUGCAAUGUGAGAGUACCAACA
rnacentral:sRNA from 12 species